rnacentral:rRNA from 1 species
UACGUAGGGGGCAAGCGUUGUCCGGAUUUAUUGGGCGUAGAGAGCGUGUAGGCGGCCGUACAGGUCAGCUGUGAAAACUCGAGGCUCAACCUCGAGACGUCGGUUGAAACCGUACGGCUAGAGUCCGGAAGAGGAGAGUGGAAUUCCACGUGUAGCAGUGAAAUGCGUAGAGAUGUGGAGGAACACCGAUGGCGAAGGCAGCCCCCUGGGCUAACACUGACGCUCAUGCACGAAAGCGUGGGGAGCAAACAGG